rnacentral:snoRNA from 1 species
UUGCAGCCAAUUGCCGACUGUGCUCUUUUCCCGUGGGGGCCCAGUGCAGUGGCUGCAAACAGCAGCCUCCUCGGUAGUGUAUGCAGCCUGUUGCCUGUACAGGUUGCCCUAAGGGACCUUGGAUACAACU